rnacentral:rRNA from 1 species
CUWAGCAUAUCAAUAAGCGGAGGAAAAGAAACUAACAAGGAUUCCCCUAGUAACUGCGAGUGAAGCGGGAAGAGCUCAAAUUUAAAAUCUGGCGGUCUUUGGCCGUCCGAGUUGUAAUUUAGAGAAGCGUCUUCCGUGCCGGACCGUGCACAAGUCUCCUGGAAUGGAGCGUCAUAGAGGGUGAGAAUCCCGUCUUUGGCACGGACCCCCCGGUGCUCUGUGAUGCGCUCUCAAAGAGUCGAGUUGUUUGGGAAUGCAGCUCAAAAUGGGUGGUGAACUCCAUCUAAAGCUAAAUAUUGGCGAGAGACCGAUAGCGAACAAGUACCGUGAGGGAAAGAUGAAAAGCACUUUGGAAAGAGAGUGAAACAGUACGUGAAAUUGUUGAAAGGGAAACGCUUGAAGUCAGUCGCGUCGAUCGAGACUCAGCCUCGCCUCGGCUUGGUGUACUUCUUGACCGACGGGCCAGCAUCAAUUUUGUCCCUCAGAUAAUGGCAAGGGAAAGGUGGCACCCUUACGGGUGUGUUAUAGUCUCCUGUCGCAUGUGAGGGGUGGGAUUGAGGAACUCAGCACGCACCUUUGGGUGCCGGGGCUUCGGCCCACGUUACGUGCUUAGGAUGUUGGCGUAAUGGCUUUAAACGACCCGUCUUGAAACACGGACCAAGGAGUCUAACAUGCCCGCGAGUGUUCGGGUGGAAAACCCGUGCGCGUAAUGAAAGUGAAAGUUGGGACCUCUGUCGUGGAGGGCACCGACGCCCGGACCAGACCUUCUGUGACGGAUCUGCGGUAGAGCGUGCAUGUUGGGACCCGAAAGAUGGUGAACUAUGCCUGAAUAGGGUGAAGCCAGAGGAAACUCUGGUGGAGGCUCGUAGCGAUUCUGACGUGCAAAUCGAUCGUCAAAUUUGGGUAUAGGGGCGAAAGACUAAUCGAACCAUCUAGUAGCUGGUUCCUGCCGAAGUYYCC